rnacentral:rRNA from 1 species
UACGGGGGGGGUAAGCGUUGUUCGGAAUUACUGGGCGUAAAGGGCUCGUAGGCGGCCAACUAAGUCAGACGUGAAAUCCCUCAGCUUAACUGGGGAACUGCGUCUGAUACUGGAUGGCUUGAGAUUGGGAGAGGGACGCGGAAUUCCAGGUGUAGCGGUGAAAUGCGUAGAUAUCUGGAGGAACACCGGUGGCGAAGGCGGCGUCCUGGACCAACACUGACACUGAGGAGCGAAAGCCAGGGGAGCAAACGGG